ensembl:lncRNA JUN-DT JUN divergent transcript
AUGAGGAAACAGAAGCUCAUUGAAGGCAACUUGAAGGUGGAUCUACAUGUCCCUCCCCCACAUUAGACCACAAGAGGCUCAAAGAUAGGGAGAAAUGCACACUCAUGUUAAAGCUGCAUUAUUCACAACAGCCAAAAGGUGGAAGCAAGACAAUUAAUUCUCACAGAAACUCUUGGAGGUAGCUGCAAGAGCUGCUAGGGACCUCGAUUAGAGUUAUUACAUAUGGACCCUCAUGAAUCAGAGGAAGAACGAGGCCUGGAGUCAUGAAGGGGCUUAACUGAAGUCACAAGGCUCACGGCAGGACCAGUAUCAAAAUAGACCCCAAUGUGCGGCAGGCUCAUCAGUGGAAGUGACUUACCCUGUCUCAGAUGAGGCUUUGUACUGUGGACUUUCGAGUCCAGGGUAGGAGAUACUUCUCCAGGCUCUCACUUAUGGGGGCUUUCCUGCUGGCUACAUCACUGAAAUGGAAUCUCCUAGUGGCCCUUCUCCCUCUACAGCUCUGGUGUUACACUGAAAAACUAGAAGAAACAGGGUUUCACUAUGUUGCCCAGUCUGGUCCCAAACUUCUGGUCUCAAGCAGUCCUCCUAUCUCAGCCUUCCAAAGUGCUAGGAUUAUAGGCAUGAGCCACUACAUUCAGCUACUGCUUGUAUCUUCUGAUUCUUGUUUUGAUACCACUGACCUUAGUUUCAAAACAGACAAGGGAAAAAGAGAAACAUCAGAAAGUCUGAUUAAAGUAGAAGCAUCAUAUUUCUAUCAACGUAUCCACUGUGCUUGGACUCUGUAAUAUUCACCGGCAGGAAAACCCAAGGGAAUGACUACUAUGACAUCUGAUGAAACAGAAGGUUCAAGAACCCACCAAUUCAAUCCCCAUAGAUCAACCUCUUGAAUACAGAGCAGAUGAGGAAAGGUAAUGUAUGGAUCUAGAGGGGCAAAUGAAAGGUAUUCUGCAUGGACCGUGAUAUAGUGUGGAUGUGUGUCCCUACCCAAAUUUCACGUUGAAAUGUAUCCCCUAUGUUGGAGGUGGGGCCUGGUUGGAGGUGACUGGAUCAUGGGGGUGGAUUUAUCAUAAAUGAUUUAGUACCAUACCCUUAGUUCUGUCCUCAUGAUAGUGAGUUUUCGCAUCUUGUGAGAGAUGUCAUUUAAAAGUGUGUGGCAUGCUCCCCACUCCCUCUCUUGCUCCUGUUCUGGCUAUGUGUUGUGCCUGCUCCCCCUUCACCUUCCACCAUGAUUGUAAGUUUCCUGAGGCCUCCCCAGAAGCCAAGUAGAUGCCAGCAUCAUACUCUCUUUACAGCCUAUGGAAUCGUGAACCAGUUAAACCUCUUUUCUGUAUAAAUUACCCAUCCACAGGCAUUUCUUUACAGCAAUGUGAGAAUGGCCUAAUAUGGACUGGAAGGAUAUGCAGACUUUUCCUGGAAAGCAGAGUUGAGGAAGGACAUCCCAUCGAGGGAAAGAAUGUGCAAUCUUUUUGUGUGGAACGCUCAGAACAUUCUAAGUACUUUGGCAUAGCAAAGGCAUAGGGAAUGAGAGACAGCAUGGUAGGAAAUAAAAAUGUGUUCAGAGAGUGGCAGGGGCUGGCUCAUGGACAGCUAAGGCAGGGAGCACUAUUCUGCAGGCACAGGGGACCAUGAAGGGCAGUUAAGUAUGGACUUCCUAUGACUGCAGAGUGGGUAACGAUUCGAGGAAAGGGAAGGGGUCUAGAGGCAGGGGUCUCCUUGGGAGGCACUGCAACCAUCCUACAGAGAUGAGGGUGAGGGUCGGAAGAAGCAGAAGCCUACCCUCUCUUAAGCAAGAUGAAGACAAACGAGACCCGUGGACUCCAUGGAGGCUGGAUCUACAUCACCAUAGUGCCAUUGCCUUCCUUCAAGGGCAAGUGAGGAACAGUCUUCCUUCACUCACCUGCACCUGCUCCUGCCCUGCUUCGGCCAACAUGUUCUAUGCAGAAACCCCACUUGAAAUUUUCAGGGUGGUUUUGCUGAUGAGACAGCUGCAGUUUGGGGAGUGUGAUAUCAAGGAAAGCAGUGUCUUGAGUCUGUCACUUUCUCUCUCUGUCCCAUUGGCUGCUCACUGAUGUCACUUAGAGGAAGGCAGGGGCACAAGAUGGGAGGACCCAGAGCUCCGGGUUCUUAAGCAUUAUAGUAUACAUAGCCUUGGAAUCAGAAGACCAAGAACAUACAAGAGAACAUAGCCUUGGAAUCAGAAGACCAAGAAACAAUUUAACUCUGCCCCUCUAGAGCUCUGAGAACUUGGGCAAGCCUUUUACCCUCUUGAAUUUUUGCCACCUUCAAUGAGAAAGACUGAAACAAAAAACUCAGAAGAAAGAAAGAGACUGAGAUAGCAAAUAUGACAAACUGUUAAAAAUUCAUGAAUCUGUUAUGGAAUACUAUGCAGCCAUAAAAAAGGAUGAGUUCCUGUCCUUUGCAAGGACGUGUAUGAAGCUGGAAACCAUCAUUCUGAGCAAACUAAAACAGGAACAGAAAACCAAACACCACAUGUUCUCACUCAUAAGUGGGAGUUGAACAAUGAGAACACAUGGACACGGCGGGGUGGUGGGAACAUCACACACCGGGGCCUGUC